CCCUUAGAUGUCCUGGGCCGCACGCGUGCUACACUGACGCAUACAGCGAGCACUUUCCAGUUCCGAGAGGCUACUGGUAAUCAUCAAUAUGCGUCGUGAUGGGGAUAGAUCUUUGGAAUUCUGGAUCUUGAGCGAGGAAUGCCUAGUAAUCGCAGGUCAUUAGCCUGCGAUGAUUAAGUCCCUGCCCUUUGUACACACCGCCCGUCGCUACUACCGAUUUCGAGUGGUCAGGUGAAUCUUUCGGACUGUGGGCGCCCUUGAGGUGUUCGCGGAAAGUCAGGUAAAUCUUAUCACUUAGAGGAAGUAAAAGUCGUAACA
rnacentral:rRNA from 1 species